rnacentral:lncRNA from 1 species
GGUAGUUUAUUCUUUUUCUUACUGGGUUGUGUCCCAUCGUGUGAACGUUAUUUAUACAUCCUCCAGCUGAUGGAGGUUUGGGUCUGGUCCAGUGUGGGUUAUUAUGAACAGUUGCUACGAAUAUUCUUGCACGUGCUGUAAGGUGCUCAUACAUAACAUAGGCACUCGUCUCUGUUGGGCACACCCCCAGGAGCAGGGUCCCCAGGCUGCAUUUUUAGGAAGUCCUCUUCCACCUUCCCCCCCUCCUUUGGCAAAAGGAAGGGUUUCAGGGGCAGUGGGAGGUGGGACUUCCUUACGCUGAAUUUGCUCCCACAGGUGAGCGGGACCCUGAUAUGAGGGAACCUGUCAGUCCAGCGAGCCCAGGCGCUCCUCAGCUGAACAAAGAGGAACGUUGGCAGUUUGGUUUAGAGAAGUGGGGACCACACAUAAGCCCACACUGGCUUCACUCAAGAGAGACCUGCUGGUUAUUUGCUCCAAGCCCGGUGCUGGGUGGGGAGGCGAUCCAGGAUUCUGAAGCCCAUUGCGAGACUGCACACCAUGGCGUGUGGAUUCAGGCUAGAAAACAGGGCUCCUUUCUGUUUUUCUUGGUGUUGCAUUAAAUAAAUAUAUACGAUAC